UUUUACGUUGAUUGAUGACUGGGCAGAGAUUUUCUUUGACUGCUUUACUCCUUUAUCACUUUGGUUGGAUGCUCUCUAUACAGCAGAUGUUAUUGCGUUUCACAUACUAUUCAUUGGCCUCACACGCCACAAUACGGGGAAGGUUCUUAUCGAAUACGGUGGGCUAGCACUGCAGCUGGUAGCCGUGUUCGUGUAUGUUAUGCUUAAGGUUGGUGACAAGAAAUAUGUUCUCUCUGAAGAGCGCAACAAAAUUCUCACCCAUUCUGAAGCAAAAACACAUAACAUUGGCUUGCUCUCAUUUUUCAUGAUCGCUGUAUUAGCUGCUAUCAUCCAGAUUCAGUUCCAAUUCCCUUUUCCCGAAAACUACAGCACACUAGCGAAAGCUAUUGGUAUUUUUGGGAUGUUCUUUCAGGUUGGGCAGAUUGUGUAGUCCCUCUAUUACCGCUGGGUGAAGGGAGAGAAUGGUUUAAAAAAUGAUGCUCCACAUAUCCGCAAGUUGAAAAUCACUGCAACUCUGAUAAAGUUCAUGACCUUAUCUUAUGAGUUGUGGGCUCAAAUCUCUCAAGGAUACAGACAAUCUGUUCUAACAAAACCACUCUGUGAUAUGACCAUUGCAGCUCUUAUUGUCAACUGUGUACUAUUUGCAGCGAGAUACAUUGGUCCAAAAACCAUAAAGGAAUAUUUCUUCCCACCCAGCCCACCAACAGAGACUCGACAGGAAUAUUUUACAAGGACAUUGGCUUUACUUCACAAGGAUGAUUUCCCCAGUGCUGUACAAAGGGCCGAUGAGAAACAUGAUUAGCUUAUCAGAUGAGGUUGAUGCCGGUUGGUCAGGCGAAAUUGGUGGAGUUUCUGUUGUCUUGUUGGACUUAUUGUUCUAAGGGACCUGUAUGCCAUCUACUGUCUGAGUCGAGGAGAUGAGUAGAUUAUGCUGUCAUUUCUGCUAUCCUAUAUUGUAGCAAUUUACCAUAGCUGACACUUUCUGGGCAUGUUGAUUGCAAAGCUUUCCGGAUGCAUGUCAGUCAAUAUAAUUUAGUUUCUAUCCUCAGAAGAAGAUUCUUGGUUUCUGUAGUUAAACAGUUAUAAAUAUGCCUUUUGUACGCAAGCAUGGCCGCAAACAUAGAAUGGGCAGC